rnacentral:lncRNA from 1 species
CACACACACACACACACACACACACACACACACACACACACACACACACACACACACACACACACACACACACACACACACACACACACACACACAGACACACACACACACACACACACACAACAACAACAACAACAACAACAACAACAACAACAACAACAACAACAACAACAACAACAACAACAACAACAACAACAACAACAACAACAACAACAACAACAACAACAACA